rnacentral:rRNA from 1 species
GGGACACGUGGUAUCCUGUCUGAAUAUGGGGGGACCAUCCUCCAAGGCUAAAUACUCCUGACUGACCGAUAGUGAACCAGUACCGUGAGGGAAAGGCGAAAAGAACCCCGGCGAGGGGAGUGAAAAAGAACCUGAAACCGUGUACGUACAAGCAGUGGGAGCCUCUUAAUGGGGUGACUGCGUACCUUUUGUAUAAUGGGUCAGCGACUUAUAUUCUGUAGCAAGGUUAACCGAAUAGGGGAGCCGAAGGGAAACCGAGUCUUAACUGGGCGUUAAGUUGCAGGGUAUAGACCCGAAACCCGGUGAUCUAGCCAUGGGCAGGUUGAAGGUUGGGUAACACUAACUGGAGGACCGAACCGACUAAUGUUGAAAAAUUAGCGGAUGACUUGUGGCUGGGGGUGAAAGGCCAAUCAAACCGGGAGAUAGCUGGUUCUCCCCGAAAGCUAUUUAGGUAGCGCCUCGUGAAUUCAUCUCCGGGGGUAGAGCACUGUUUCGGCAAGGGGGUCAUCCCGACUUACCAACCCGAUGCAAACUGCGAAUACCGGAGAAUGUUAUCACGGGAGACACACGGCGGGUGCUAACGUCCGUCGUGAAGAGGGAAACAACCCAGACCGCCAGCUAAGGUCCCAAAGUCAUGGUUAAGUGGGAAACGAUGUGGGAAGGCCCAGACAGCCAGGAUGUUGGCUUAGAAGCAGCCAUCAUUUAAAGAAAGCGUAAUAGCUCACUGGUCGAGUCGGCCUGCGCGGAAGAUGUAACGGGGCUAAACCAUGCACCGAAGCUGCGGCAGCGACACUAUGUGUUGUUGGGUAGGGGAGCGUUCUGUAAGCCUGUGA